AUUGCUUCUUGGCCUUUUGGCUAAGAUCAAGUGUAGUAUCUGUUCUUAUCAGUUUAAUAAUGAUAGGCCAUUUUUGUGGGAUUAUGGCCAGGGAGGGAAGUCCAGGCUGGAGAGCCCCCAUGGGUUGAAUAUUAGUAUUAAUGGCUCUUAAAUCAUGUAAAAGCCUCCACUUUUU
rnacentral:snRNA from 1 species